UCCACAAUCCUAUUACGGAGACCGGAGG
rnacentral:sRNA from 1 species